rnacentral:rRNA from 1 species
CAGGUUUGAUCCUGGCUCAGGAUGAACGCUAGCUACAGGCUUAACACAUGCAAGUCGAGGGGAAACGACAUCGAAAGCUUGCUUUUGAUGGGCGUCGACCGGCGCACGGGUGAGUAACGCGUAUCCAACCUGCCCACCACUUGGGGAUAACCUUGCGAAAGUAAGACUAAUACCCAAUGACGUCUCUAGAAGACAUCUGAAGGAGAUUAAAGAUUUAUCGGUGAUGGAUGGGGAUGCGUCUGAUUAGCUUGUUGGCGGGGUAACGGCCACAAGGCGACGAUCAGUAGGGGUUCUGAGAGGAAGGUCCCCCACAUUGGAACUGAGACACGGUCCAAACUCCUACGGGAGACA